UACGGGGGGGGCAAGCGUUGUUCGGAAUUACUGGGCGUAAAGGGCUCGUAGGUGGUCAACUAAGUCGGACGUGAAAUCCCUCGGCUUAACCGGGGAACUGCGUCCGAUACUGGAUGACUUGAGUUCGGGAGAGGGAUGCGGAAUUCCAGGUGUAGCGGUGAAAUGCGUAGAUAUCUGGAGGAACACCGGUGGCGAAGGCGGCAUCCUGGACCGACACUGGACGCUGAGGAGCGAAAGCCAGGGGAGCAAACGGG
rnacentral:rRNA from 1 species